rfam:Oryza meridionalis cultivar OR44 (W2112) chromosome 3, whole genome shotgun sequence.
UUUAAGUGCGAACAUAAUUUUCCGCAUCUAAUUUUAAUCAUCCGUCUAAUUUAAAAACUUUUGAUAAUUAGUAUUUAUUGAUAUGAGAUGAUAAAACAUGAACAAUAUUUUACUCGUGACUUUUGUUUUUAAAUUUUUUUAAAAAAAUUUUAAAUACAAUGGAUAAUCAAAGUUGAGCGCGGAAAACCAUGACUACACUUAAA